CACACUACUCUGAAGCAAUCAACCUGAUUGUUUACUUUCCUCUCCUUGCUGUAGCACUGGAGCUUUUGCCCAUGCUGGAUCCUGCUCUUUUCUGAAUGAAGCACGUUCCUUGGCUGCAUCUGCCCUGGUGUGGGGGCAGGAGGGAUGAGCAUCCAACCCCCCGGCCCAGGGCAGCAGCACCAGCAGCCCUUCAGCUGCUGUAAAUCUUUAACUCCAAAGUUUGACAAUUAAUCGAUGAUAUCUAAUAAUUGUGCCCAUGGACUGCCAAAGGCUCCCAUUAAAGAUUUAAAAUGCAAAGAAAGGUAGAAUCAAAAAGAUGGUAUUUUGGAUUAAAUAAUGUAAAAAAAAAACUGUAGGGCAGUAGCAAAGUGAAAAGCUGUUGGCAAAAUAAAAGCAUCGUGUCAACUCUCCUUGAGACAGAUUUCAACAUUUACACAUUCAACUGCAUCUUUUUGUAGCUGGGAUUUAAAAUAAAAAUACUUAAAGGUUGCUUAAACCAGCUGUGAUUUUAAAAUAUAUUUUUGGGCUUUCAGGUUUUGAUAAGCUUGUUCUCAACAGAGUGAUGAAAAAUACAGUGUGUGAUCCUGUGUUAUAAAUAUCUCCAUAAAUACAGUGGCGAGGGGUGUAAUCUGUUGUCCAGUAUUUAAGAAUGUGUUAGCAAACUGUGUGGCAUAAUGUUUCUUUCAUUAAGUACCAAUAGAUACAGGGUGGCCAGAAAGCAUUUUGCAACAGCUUCUUGGGAAUGUGCUAUUUUUGUUAGCCUUGGAAAAAGGAUGCUGCUGCUGUAGUAUAUAAAGGCUGUCAGAAAGGUCCAGCUGGACUUUUCCUCCCUUUUCUGUACUGUCUUUAUCACUUUGCUCAGUUCCACAUAAUAACAUCUUCAUCUGAGAUUGCUGUGGCACAGGGGAACUGCAUUUGUUGAUCAAAUUUGGCUGGAUAACACUGUGAUCUCGUAUCCUGAAGUGCGGAGAUGUGCCUGGAAUACGUAAGCAUAAAGCUGGCCCCUUGAUUGAUUGAUUCUGCCUGUCACAGAACAAGAUAACUGGAUCAGUAAAUACCCUGUGCACUUCAACUUCAUCUAUACAAUCAAAAGUGAGGGCAUCAUGGGGCUGAAAAACACCAAGGCAUGAUGGGAAUAUCUACAUUUCAGAAUGAUAGCCAGGAACUUGCGAAAAGCGAGGAAGAGAAGAAAAAUUCUUUAUUCCUUUUUCUUUUUUUUUUUCCCUGUGUGUUUGUACACGAACAGCAGUGAAAAGCACAUUAAUUUUGGAGUGCUUGUGGUGUG